UACGGAGGGUGCAAGCGUUAUCCGGAAUUACUGGGUUUAAAGGGUGCGUAGGCGGUUAAUUAAGUCAGGGGUGAAAGGUAAUUGCUUAACGAGUGAAUUGCAUUUGAUACUGGUUAGCUUGAAAGGAGAUGAGGUUGGCGGAAUGUGAGAUGUAGCGGUGAAAUGCGUAGAUAUAUCAUAGAACACCGAUUGCGAAGGCAGCUGGCUAAUCUUACUUUGACGCUGAGGCACGAAAGCGUGGGGAGCGAACAGG
rnacentral:rRNA from 1 species